AAAAUAGGAAUGAGAGAAACAAAAUGUAGAAGAAGAGUUUGAAGAAAGAAAUUUGAAAAAAAAGGAAGAAAAAAAUUACAAGAAAAUGAUACGGUUUCUAAGAAAGAGAAAGGAUAAAGUUAAGAGUGGAAGAGAAAUUUUAAAAUAACCAUUUUAAAAAAAAAAUCAAAAAUAACCAAUAAUUCAAAAAAAAAAACCAGAAUAAUCAGGUUUUGAAGAGGAUGCGCCAGAUGAAUUGGCGUACCUCCAAUGCAUUAAGAGGAAGCGCC
rnacentral:lncRNA from 1 species